GGAUUAAUAUGUUGGUCGUGCCUUGGUACGUACUGGCAUUAUUGAUUCCUACCUUCUGAAGAACUUCGAUGUCAUUAAUUUGGUGUCUUGGGGAAUCAGGACUGUUACUUUGGAAAAAAUUAGAGUGUUUAAAGCAGGCUCGCGCUUGAAUACAUUAGCAUGGAAUAAUGAAAUAGGACGUUUGAUUCUAUUUUUGUUGGUUUCUAGGAUCGAUGUAAUGAU
rnacentral:rRNA from 1 species